UACGUAGGGGGCAAGCGUUGUCCGGAAUCAUUGGGCGUAAAGAGCGUGUAGGCGGCCCGGUCAGUCCGCCGUGAAAGUCCAGGGCUCAACCCUGGAAUGCCGGUGGAUACUGCCGGGCUGGAGUCCGGAAGAGGCGAGUGGAAUUCCUGGUGUAGCGGUGAAAUGCGCAGAUAUCAGGAGGAACACCGAUGGCGAAGGCAGCUCGCUGGGACGGUACUGACGCUGAGACGCGAAAGCGUGGGGAGCGAACAGG
rnacentral:rRNA from 1 species